CCUACGGGAGGCAGCAGUGGGGAAUAUUGCGCAAUGGGGGAAACCCUGACGCAGCAACGCCGCGUGAGCGAUGAAGGUCUUCGGAUUGUAAAGCUCUGUCUUUAGGGACGAUAAUGACGGUACCUAAGGAGGAAGCCACGGCUAACUACGUGCCAGCAGCCGCGGUAAUA
rnacentral:rRNA from 1 species